AUGAAUCACUCCUCUUGCCUCUCUAGGCAGGGGGAAGAGUUCAAUAAGCACAUGGGAGAACUCUCAACUUGUACGCACAUUCUAAACAUGUCUGCCUGUAGGAUGAGUGGGUUUGAUUCCAUCUUUCAUGUCCAAGAAUGGGUCAUGAUUGGCACCUCCUCUUUCAAAAGUUGUUGCUUCAAAGCUGAAGCCAAAUUGCUCUAAAAGAAAUCAAGCCCAGAGGGUGGGUAAUGGUUAGAAGAAAUAAAAUUUCUCAUUUUAGACAGUGUGGAAAAUGAAUGUAAAAUCUUAAAUUGUGGCAUCAAUUUCACUAUUACAGGAAAAGCCAGCCUGUGGAUGAAGUGGCAAAGCUGAGAGUGUUUCAGUGAUAUUGAGUGGUUACUUGAUCUAAAUUAAUCCAGACUCUUUAGUUAUUUGUGAGAUGGAAAAGCCCAUCUUGGUGAACCCUGUUCUUUGUGUGGAUGUGAGGCAAGUACUUACAAUCUCCUUUUGUCAUUUUGAGUUGAGUUUUCUGUAGUUUGCAAUUGACCACAUUUCACCUGAUAUAAUUAAGACCCGGGUAGUGAAAAGAACAUUGUUUGUUGUGCUGUGUUACAUUUUAUAUUGUAGAUUUGUGAAUCUUUAAAUUGUUUAGGGAAUAAUAUACUUUUCAAUAAACAUUAGCUUUUAUUCACAUCUGAACAAAACCAGUGAUGUAGGAUGCUUACUGACUAAGCUGAAAGCUGAUGUAAGGGAAAUGUAAUUCUAUAACCUGCAGAUUUUUACUUAUUUUAUCGUUAAACUAUUUGCAAUUUUGCAAAAAAAGUACUCUAAAAUGUACAUGUAAAAUCCCUGCUAAUUCCAAAUGGUCACAAAAGGUUUUCCAUGCAACUAACUGAUUUCUGACCUAUGUAGUUGUUUAUGACAAUUUUAUAAAAUAUUAUUUGUAUUACGUGAAGCCAAGUACAGUUAUUUAUUCCUGCCAGCCUUGACAUCUCAGAUACUAUUAUUUUAAAAAUGUAACCAUAUUUUCCAGCCUCAAUUUAUUUCCCUCUUUCCUUCAUACUUCCAUCAGCACUCAUAUGACUUGAUGGGAGACUGUCUCAUUUGAGCUCAGAACCAUAUUCUGUCAAAAAUCUGAUUGCUCAGCAAAUAUCAAAUAUUGCCAUCAGAUACAGAGUUUUAGGAGAAUGCAUUCCAAUUUUUGUCACUAAAACCAAAUUCUUAACAUUGGACACUGAAGAAAGACAUAGAAGUAACUCUGGAAGUAAGGAAGCAACAAAGUAACUAUAAGCAUAAGCUUGUUCCAAAAUGUGGGGGAUUAUUGAAAACUGAACUAUCAAAAAAGACUCUAAUAUAUUUAAGCAAAAAUAUGUGGCUCACUCUGAAUUGAAAAAUUAAUUCUAGGAUUUGUUAGAUAUGUUAAUUGGUUCAAAUCAAAAUUAACAUAUGAAAAGGAAAGAAAGACACUGAAAAUAGACUGAAUUAAAGCAGCAAAAGAGGUAAUAGAAAUAAACCUUACAUAUGACAGCCUGUCACCUCAAUAAAACAGAGUUAUGUGGCAAAAAGGCAGCCAUUGCAAAAAACUAUGACACUGAUAUCCAAGAGCAGCCCCAGUGUUGGUCAGACACUUUCUUUACAAAUAUUCAUGUCAUUAAUCUUCUUUCAAAAACCACUGAGGCAUAAACAUCAAC
ensembl:lncRNA